UACGAAGGGGGCUAGCGUUGCUCGGAAUUACUGGGCGUAAAGCGCACGUAGGCGGUCUUUUUAAGUCGGGGGUGAAAUCCUGGAGCUCAACUCCAGAACUGCCUUCGAUACUGGAAGACUCGAGUCCGGGAGAGGUGAGUGGAACUGCGAGUGUAGAGGUGAAAUUCGUAGAUAUUCGCAAGAACACCAGUGGCGAAGGCGGCUCACUGGCCCGAGAUCGACGCUGAGGCGCGAAAGCUAGGGGAGCAAACGGG
rnacentral:rRNA from 1 species